UACGUAGGGGGCAAGCGUUGUCCGGAAUCAUUGGGCGUAAAGAGCGUGUAGGCGGCCCGAUAAGUCCGCUGUAAAAGUCCAGGGCUCAACCCUGGAAAGCCGGUGGAUACUGUCGGGCUAGAGUCCGGAAGAGGCGAGUGGAAUUCCUGGUGUAGCGGUGAAAUGCGCAGAUAUCAGGAGGAACACCAAUGGCGAAGGCAGCUCGCUGGGACGUGACUGACGCUGAGACGCGAAAGCGUGGGGAGCAAACAGG
rnacentral:rRNA from 1 species